rnacentral:rRNA from 1 species
CCCUUAGAUGUCCUGGGCUGCACGCGCGCUACACUGAUGUGUCCAGUAAGCACCUAACCUCUUCCGAAAGGAACGGGUAACCUUUGCAAAGCACAUCGUGAUGGGGAUAGAUUAUUGCAAUUAUUAGUCUUGAACGAGGAAUUCCUAGUAAGCACAAGUCAUCAACUUGUGUUGAUUACGUCCCUGCCCUUUGUACACACCGCCCGUCGCUCCUACCGAUUGAAUGUUCCGGUGAAUAAUUCGGACUGCAGCACUGCUUGGUCUCCAGGCUUUGCAGCGGAAAGUUUAGUGAACCUUAUCACUUAGAGGAAGGAGAAGUCGUAACA